rnacentral:rRNA from 1 species
ACGUAGGGAGCGAGCGUUAUCCGGAUUUAUUGGGUUUAAAGGGUGCGUAGGCGGUUUGUUUAGUUAGAGGUGAAAUCCCGGGGCUCAACUCCGGAACUGCCUCUGAUACUGGCAAACUAGAGAAUGGUUGCUGUGGGCGGAAUGCGUGGUGUAGCGGUGAAAUGCUUAGAGAUCACGCAGAACACCGAUUGCGUAGGCAGCUCACAAGGCCAUAUCUGACGCUGAAGCACGAAAGCGUGGGGAGCAAACAG